UACAGGGUCAGUAGCUAUAUACAGGGUCAGUAGUUAUAUACAGGGUCAGUAGUUAUAUACAGGGUCAGUAGUUAUAUACAGGGUCAGUAGCUAUAUACAGGGUCAGUAGCUAUAUACAGGGUCAGUAGCUAUAUACAGGGUCAGUAGUUAUAUACAGGGUCAGUAGCUAUAUACAGGGUCAGUAGCUAUAUACAGGGUCAGUAGCUAUAUACAGGGUCAGUAGCUAUAUACAGGGUCAGUAGCUAUAUACAGGGUCAGUUCCAGGGUCAGUAGCUAUAUACAGGGUCAGUAGUUAUAUACAGGGUCAGUAGUUAUAUACAGGGUCAGUAGUUAUAUACAUACAGGGUCAGUAGUUAUAUACAGGGUCAGUAGUUAUAUACAGGGUCAGUAGCUAUAUACAGGGUCAGUAGCUAUAUACAGGGUCAGUAGCUAUAUACAGGGUCAGUAGUUAUAUACAGGGUCAGUAGUUAUAUACAGGGUCAGUAGUUAUAUACAGGGUCAGGAGCUAUAUACAGGGUCAGUAGCUAUAUACAGGGUCAGUAGCUAUAUACAGGGUCAGUAGUUAUAUACAGGGUCAGUAGCUAUAUACAGGGUCAGUUCCAGGGUCAGUAGCUAUAUACAGGGUCAGUUCCAGGGUCAGUAGUUAUAUACAGGGUCAGGAGCUAUAUACAGGGUCAGUAGCUAUAUACAGGGUCAGUAGUUAUAUACAGGGUCAGUAGCUAUAUACAGGGUCAGUAGCUAUAUACAGGGUCAGUUCCAGGGUCAGUAGCUAUAUACAGGGUCAGUAUUUAUAUACAGGGUCAGUUCCAGGGUCAGUAGCUAUAUACAGGGUCAGUUCCAGGGUCAGUAGCUAUAUACAGGGUCAGUAUUUAUAUACAGGGUCAGUUCCAGGGUCAGUAGCUAUAUACAGGGUCAGUAGUUAUAUACAGGCUCAGUAGUUAUAUACAGGGUCAGUAGUUAUAUACAGGGUCAGUAGUUAUAUACAGGGUCAGUAGUUAUAUACAGGGUCAGUAGUUAUAUACAGGGUCAGUAGUUAUAUACAGGG
ensembl:lncRNA